GGAGUAUGAAAAUAAAAAAUACGUACUUAAUUUAACUAGCUCUGAUACCAAAUGAUACGAACUCAUAUUCAUUGUCAAAAUCGAGUCGUAAGUUGUCCGAUCAGUAAAUUAAGUAAUCACGUUUUUAGUUUAACAAAAGGUUGUUUUAAAGAAGAUAGUGAAAAACAAAGAACGUUAAUAAAAAAUAGGAUGAUGGAAUGAUGGUAAAACC
rnacentral:lncRNA from 1 species